AGGAUCAUUACUAGGGGGCUUCGGCCCCAUCAAGAUACCANNNNNNGCAUUUUGAGUACCUUCUGUUUCCUCGGCGGGCCUGNNNGCCAACGGGGACCACACCAAACCCUUCUGUAGUCGCAGUAAACGUCUAAAAACAUAAUUUAAAUCAAAACUUUCAACAACGGAUCUCUUGGUUCUGGCAUCGAUGAAGAACGCAGCGAAAUGCGAUAAGUAGUGUGAAUUGCAGAAUUCAGUGAAUCAUCGAAUCUUUGAACGCACAUUGCGCCCUUUGGUAUUCCUUAGGGCAUGCCUGUUCGAGCGUCAUCUAAACCCUCAAGCUCUGCUUGGUGUUGGGCGCCUGUCCCGCCUCGGGCGCGGACUCGCCUCAAAAGCAUUGGCGGCCUGUGUAUUGUCUUCGAGCGCAGCAGACUCGCGCCUCGCAACCCUCUGGCACGGGCGUCCAUCAAGACGCACCCCCAAAGUUUGACCUCGGAUCAGGUAGGGAUACCCGCUGAACUUAAGCAUAUCAAUAAGCGGAGGAAAAGAAACCAACAGGGAUUGCCCUAGUAACGGCGAGUGAAGCGGCAAGAGCUCAAAUUUGAAAUCUGGCCCUUUCAGGGUCCGAGUUGUAAUUUGUAGAGGGCGCUUUGGCGUCGGCUACGGCCUAAGUUCCUUGGAACAGGACGUCACAGAGGGUGAGAACCCCGUACGUGGCCGCUAGCCUUCGCCGUGUAAAGCCCCUUCGACGAGUCGAGUUGUUUGGGAAUGCAGCUCUAAAUGGGAGGUAAAUUUCUUCUAAAGCUAAAUACUGGCCAGAGACCGAUAGCGCACAAGUAGAGUGAUCGAAAGAUGAAAAGCACUUUGGAAAGAGAGUCAAAAAGCACGUGAAAUUGUUGAAAGGGAAGCGCUUGCAGCCAGACUUGCCUGUAGUUGCUCAUCCGAGCUCCCGCUCGGUGCACUCUUCUGCGGGCAGGCCAGCAUCAGUCCGGGCNNNNNAUAAAGGCCCUGGGAAUGUAGCUCCCCUCGGGGNNUNUUAUAGCCCGGGGCGCCAUGCGACCAGCCUGGACUGAGGUCCGCGCAUCUGCUAGGAUGCUGCUAUGGCUC
rnacentral:rRNA from 1 species